rnacentral:rRNA from 1 species
UACGGAGGGUGCAAGCGUUGCUCGGAAUUACUGGGCGUAAAGCGUACGCAGGCUGUCCGUUAAGUCGGGUGUGAAAGCCCGGGGCUCAACCCCGGAAUUGCGCCCGAAACUGGCGGGCUUGAGUGCGGGAGAGGGAAGCGGAAUUCCGUGGUGUAGAGGUGAAAUUCGUAGAUAUCAGGAGGAACACCGGUGGCGAAGGCGGAUCUCUGGGCCGAUACUGACGCUGAGGAGCGAAAGCGUGGGGAGCAAACAGG